AACACGUCCGACUCGGAUUAAGAUUUCCAUUAGCGGAAAAAUUAUUAAUUUCGAUUUUUUCUGUCAGAAGCAAAAAAGCCCUAACCUUUAUCCUUCACUCCAUUUUUCUUCGUUCUACGGCGCCUACGCAGCUCAGCCCUCAUCACGCCGCUCCGAUCUCCACCGGACCACCGCUCCGGCUUUCCGUUCAGUUCUCAGGUUUAGUGUUUUCUAAUUCUUACAAGUUUCACAGAAUCACGGUUUUCAGCUUUUCAUCGAAUCAACUCUCCGUCUAAGAUUGAUUGCUGCAAUGGGAAAGAAGAAACCAGAGGAGAACGGUGCAACCACCAAAACUAAGGGGAGUGGCAAAGACGUUUCAAAAGAUGGGAAGAAAGAGAAACUUUCGGUGUCGGCAAUGCUUGCCAGUAUGGACCAGAAACCUGAUAAGCCUAAAAAGGGCUCUUCCUCUUCCUUGGCCGCUACUUCUAUUAAACCUAAGACAAAAGCCGCCCCAAAAUUGUCAUCUUACACUGAUGACAUUGAUCUCCCUCCGUCUGAUGAUGAGGAUGCCUUUGAAGAAGAACUGAGUGAAAUCCAGAAGCAACGGAGGAGUGACCCAAAGGCACUUGAAAUAUCGAUGAGUGAAAAAGAAUUGAAAAAAAGAGAAAAGAAGGAUGUGCUUGCUGCCCAUGCAGCAGAGCAGGCAAAACAGGAGGCCCUUAAGGAUGACCGAGAUGCUUUUACUGUUGUUAUUGGUAGUCGGACCUCAGUUCUUGAGGGAGGUGAUGAAGCUGAUGCCAAUGUUAAAGAUAUAACUAUAGAUAACUUUUCUGUGUCAGCUCGGGGUAAAGAGCUUUUGAAGAAUACAUCAGUAAAGAUAUCUCACGGGAAAAGGUACGGUUUGAUUGGACCCAAUGGAAUGGGAAAGUCUACAUUAUUAAAGCUCCUUGCUUGGAGGAAGAUUCCAGUACCUAAGAAUAUUGAUGUUCUUUUGGUUGAACAAGAGGUGGUUGGUGAUGAUAGAACUGCUCUUGAAGCAGUUGUUUCAGCCAAUGAAGAGCUGGUCAAGCUUCGAAAUGAGGUUGCAUCUUUGCAGAAUUUUUCUUCUUCUGCUGAGGGUGAGAAUGAAGUUGAAGAUAGCUAUGGGGAUGAUGCAGGAGAGAAGCUUGCUGAGUUGUAUGAAAAGUUGCAGAUCUUGGGGUCAGAUGCGGCUGAGGCUCAAGCAUCAAAGAUUCUUGCUGGAUUGGGUUUCACCAAGGGAAUGCAGGGUCGUCCAACCCGAUCAUUUAGUGGUGGCUGGAGAAUGAGAAUAUCAUUGGCUAGGGCACUUUUCGUGCAACCAACACUAUUGUUAUUGGAUGAACCCACAAACCAUCUUGACCUCAGGGCCGUUCUAUGGUUAGAGGAGUACUUGUGUCGGUGGAAGAAAACACUUGUUGUUGUCUCACAUGACCGGGAUUUCCUUAACUCCGUCUGCAAUGAGAUAAUUCAUCUCCAUGAUUUUAAGCUUCACUUAUAUCGCGGAAACUUUGAUGAGUUUGAAAGUGGGUAUGAGCAGCGCCGCAAAGAGAUGAACAAGAAGUAUGAAACUUAUGAGAAGCAAAUUAAAGCAGCCAAGAGGUCAGGGAGUCGUGCUCAGCAGGAGAAGGUGAAAGACCGGGCUAAGUUUAAUGCUGCAAAAGAAGCAUCCAAGAGCAAGGUAAAAGGAAAGGUUGAUGAGGAUGAGCCUCAGCCAGAGGCCCCAAAGAAGUGGAGAGACUACAGUGUGGAGUUCCACUUCCCUGAACCUACUGAGCUCACACCGCCACUCUUGCAGCUAAUUGAAGUCAGCUUCAGCUACCCAAACCGUGAGGAUUUCAGGCUCUCAAAUGUUGAUGUAGGUAUUGAUAUGGGAACACGUGUUGCUAUUGUUGGGCCGAAUGGAGCGGGAAAAUCUACUCUCCUGAAUCUUCUUGCAGGUGAUUUGGUUCCAUCUGAGGGUGAAGUACGGAGGAGUCAGAAGUUGAGGAUUGGGAGGUAUUCACAGCACUUUGUGGACCUACUAACAAUGGAGGAAACACCAGUGCAGUAUCUUCUUCGUCUUCAUCCAGAUCAAGAAGGACUUAGCAAGCAGGAGGCUGUUCGCGCAAAGCUUGGAAAAUUUGGACUCCCCAGCCAUAAUCACCUCACCCCAAUUGCAAAAUUAUCUGGAGGGCAAAAGUCACGGGUUGUCUUCACUUCGAUUUCCAUGUCGAAGCCACACAUAUUGCUAUUGGAUGAGCCUACAAAUCAUUUGGACAUGCAGAGCAUUGACGCACUGGCUGAUGCACUGGAUGAGUUUACUGGUGGAGUUGUCCUGGUCAGUCAUGACUCUAGGCUCAUAUCACGUGUUUGUGAUGAUGAAGAGAGGAGUGAAAUUUGGGUUGUGGAAAAUGGAACUGCGAGUACUUACCCUGGAACAUUUGAGGAGUACAAGGAGGAGUUACAAAGAGAGAUCAAACAAGAGGUCGACGAUUGAUUUGGCAGCUGUGGUCACAAUCACUGGCUGUCCAAAGAAUGAUGACCGGCUGAUUUCAUAGACAGCCUCAUGUGUGACAAUUUCUGAUAUCUUCGACCAUGGGAAAAAAAACACUUCUGGUUAUAGGGACAACGAGUGAAGUUGGCUUCUUAGAUUCAAUUGGUAUGAUGCUUUUUCUAUCACUUACCAUGUUCCUACAUUGAAGACAGAUGAUGCAAAGAAGCUGUCAGGUCCUCUUCUUUGAGCCCUUUACCUUCCUCUAAAGCUCUCAACUUCCUCUUCGCUGUCGCUGCCGUUGUAAUCGCUCCGUCCUCCAGCUUCCAGCCACCUUUGGUAUUUGUCCAUGGAAUGGAAGCUCCCAUGCUGCUUGUGCUGGGCUGAACACUGGCUUCCCUUUCCAGGUUGUGGCUUUGAUUUCUAUGCUGUAAGCUAUCACACUUGGCUUUAGAGAGUUUUUUCCUUUAUUGGUGGCUAAAAUUUUUCUGUAGUAUGUGCAUUUUCAACCAUUCCUUUGUCAGAGAGGCUCUUAGCGUGCUUAUUAUGAGGCCUCAUACAAAAAUAUGUGGUGAUAUAUUUGAGCAGUCAACUGUUGGACGUAUGAGAUUCCUUUCAAGGUAUAUUAUUCUCAUUGUUCUCAAGCUAUUUAUACAUUAUUUCUUCAAUAUUAAGGACGUAACUAGGAAUUUAGGACCAGAUUGCACUGUUAUAUUGUUUAAGGAUGUCAUCAUUAAUAAAGUAAAAUUUUAAAACAAAUUUUUGGAAAAGAUCCCCCGGGUGCAUCUUUGUUCAUACUUUUCAUGGAAUGGAACAAGUCUAUAGACUUUGUACAUGACAAAAGUUUUUCUCCUUAUUAAUUAGGAGAAGAGUCGUCUAUGUUGAUUGUUAAUUAAUUAUUAAAAUAUUAAUUAAAUAAUUAAAUUUGUAUUUUUUUUAUCAGCUUAAACUUUUGGACAUCUGAUUACUAUGAGAGUAGAGAUCCUAAUUUGGAACAUGUCUCCACAUUUUAGUCCUAUGUUGAGCUCAUAAAGUGUUAAAAUAUUAAUUAAAUAAUUUUUUUUUUUACUAUUAGCAUCAACUCUUGGUUUUUUAUUUUUUAUUAUUACAUAGUUCAUCCAAUGAUUGAUUUUUGUUGAUAACUGAGUCUCAUUAUUCUUAGCAUAUAAAUAAGAAGCAUGCAAAGAGUAACAUGAUUACCAUACGUGUUUUUGCAAGAAUGACGAGACUUUUCAAAGGAUGAUUGAUUACAUGACUCAAUUGUUAAAGUUGCGAAGGCCAAUUUGAUAAAGGAGAUGACUUCUGCAUAUCAGUUAUAUAUCUUGAAUUUAGCCAUGGAUACCACAGAUUCACCAAAGGAGCGACUGAUGUUGGUUCCAAGUGUCGAGGUUUGUAAUUUGAGAAAUGCUAUAUGCACUUUUAAGUCUACAUCCUCGAGUACAAAGUUCCUGACUUGACAGUAAAAUUCACUAUUGGAUCAAAAAUUCAAUAGUGAUCCGUUCAAAAUCUAAUAAUGACCACGUCAUGUAGUGUAGACUUGGGAGUGCAUGCAAAAUUUCUCUUUUAUUUUGCAAUAAAGGAGCGUGCUGCACAUUUUUUAGUGUUC